rnacentral:rRNA from 1 species
UACGGAGGGUGCAAGCGUUAUCCGGAUUCACUGGGCGUAAAGGGUGCGCAGGCGGUCGGGUGUGUCAGAUGUGAAAUCCCGAGGCUCAACCUCGGGUCUGCAGUCGAUACGAGCAAACUAGAGUGUUGCAGGGGAGACUGGAAUUCCUGGUGUAGCGGUGAAAUGCGCAGAUAUCAGGAGGAACACCGGUGGCGAAGGCGGGUCUCUGGGCAACAACUGACGCUGAGGAGCGAAAGCGUGGGGAGCGAACAGG